rnacentral:rRNA from 1 species
UACGUAGGGUGCGAGCGUUGUCCGGAAUUACUGGGCGUAAAGAGCUCGUAGGCGGCUUGUCGCGUCGACUGUGAAAACCCGCGGCACAACCGUGUGGUCUGCAGUCGAUACGGGCAGGCUAGAGUUCGGUAGGGGAGACUGGAAUUCCUGGUGUAGCGGUGAAAUGCGCAGAUAUCAGGAGGAACACCGGUGGCGAAGGCGGGUCUCUGGGCCGAUACUGACGCUGAGGAGCGAAAGCGUGGGGAGCGAACAGG